CCUACGGGUGGCAGCAGUGGGGAAUAUUGCACAAUGGGCGCAAGCCUGAUGCAGCCAUGCCGCGUGUGUGAAGAAGGCCUUCGGGUUGUAAAGCACUUUCAGCGGGGAGGAAGGCGUUAAGGUUAAUAACCUUGUCGAUUGACGUUACCCGCAGAAGAAGCACCGGCUAACUCCGUGCCAGCAGCCGCGGUAAUACGGAGGGUGCAAGCGUUAAUCGGAAUUACUGGGCGUAAAGCGCACGCAGGCGGUCUGUCAAGUCGGAUGUGAAAUCCCCGGGCUCAACCUGGGAACUGCAUUCGAAACUGGCAGGCUAGAGUCUUGUAGAGGGGGGUAGAAUUCCAGGUGUAGCGGUGAAAUGCGUAGAGAUCUGGAGGAAUACCGGUGGCGAAGGCGGCCCCCUGGACAAAGACUGACGCUCAGGUGCGAAAGCGUGGGGAGCAAACAGGAUUAAUACCCCUGUAGUC
rnacentral:rRNA from 1 species